rnacentral:rRNA from 1 species
UACGUAGGGGGCUAGCGUUGUCCGGAAUCAUUGGGCGUAAAGCGCGUGUAGGCUGUUUGGCAAGUCCGCUGUGAAAGUCGGGGGCUCAACCCUCGAAAGCCGGUGGAUACUGUCGGGCUAGAGUACGGAAGAGGCGAGUGGAAUUCCUGGUGUAGCGGUGAAAUGCGCAGAUAUCAGGAGGAACACCAAUGGCGAAGGCAGCUCGCUGGGACGUUACUGACGCUGAGACGCGAAAGCGUGGGGAGCAAACAGG